rnacentral:rRNA from 1 species
CUAUGCGCCUUGCCAGCCCGCUCAGGUGUGCCAGCAGCCGCGGUAAUACGUAGGGGGCAAGCGUUAUCCGGAUUUACUGGGUGUAAAGGGAGCGUAGACGGCAGUGCAAGUCUGGAGUGAAAGGCGGGGGCUCAACCCCCCGGACUGCUCUGGAAACUGUACAGCUGGAGUGCAGGAGUGGUAAGUGGAAUUCCUAGUGUAGCGGUGAAAUGCGUAGAUAUUAGGAGGAACACCAGUGGCGAAGGCGGCUUACUGGACUGUAACUGACGUUGAGGCUCGAAAGCGUGGGGAGCAAACAGG